rnacentral:SRP_RNA from 1 species
GCCGGGUGUGGUGGCGGGCGCCUGUAAUCCCAGCUACUUGGGAGGCUGAGGCAGAGAAUUGCUUGAACCCGGGAGGUGGAGGUUGCAGUGAGCCGAGAUCACGCCACUGCACUCCAGCCUGGGUGACAGAGUGAGACUUUGUCUCAA